CCUUCUUCUGUUCCAUAUCCAAUUACGACGACUCCAUGAUUUAUAUACUGAGAACACUGUGGAUCGUCAUAUACACCUACAUAAAAAGGAUAUAGAAUCACUUUCAGACUGAAAACAACAACAGCUAAUAAUGUUUGUAUUUACUGGAUGGAUUUCCGCUCCAGACAUGAAACGAAUAAGUGAAUGCAACCAUGUUCCUGAAGAAGAAAAAAGAAC